rnacentral:rRNA from 1 species
UACGUAGGGUGCAAGCGUUGUCCGGAAUUAUUGGGCGUAAAGAGCUCGUAGGCGGCUUGUCGCGUCGUUCGUGAAAACUCACAGCUCAACUGUGAGCUUGCGGUCGAUACGGGCAGGCUAGAGUUCGGUAGGGGAGACUGGAAUUCCUGGUGUAGCGGUGAAAUGCGCAGAUAUCAGGAGGAACACCGGUGGCGAAGGCGGCCUUCUGGACAGUAACUGACGCUGAGACGCGAAAGCGUGGGGAGCAAACAGG